UGUGCAGAUCUUCACAGGAGCGAAGAAACGCAACGCUAACGUUCACCGACGUUUCCUCUGUCUGUGCCUGAAGAGCCGUUUGCAGACAACUGAUGUACUUGCCUACAGGAAGGCCACAGCACAUAGAGACCUACUUUCACCCAAAGGAGAAGGCUGAAGACAUGUCUGGACACUGACCUGGAGGAAUUGUCGGUUAAAGGCUUGAAACUAGAUAUACUCACUGAAGUGGUCGAAGAUUAUGUUGGAACCGUCAACUCUGCUUCAACUACAAGAAGCAUUGCCUUGGUUAUCGAGGAGCAGAUUGUUGUAGAUGACAUCGGAGACUUGCCUACAGCAUUUUCUCUUUGGCCUCACAUAUGCUCUGAACUUGGACUAUCCUAAGGACCUUAAGUGCACUUUUGAGGCAGUUCAGAAGGUGUUCAUGAACUUGGGUACCCACUGCUCAGCCAGGGUUUAGGCCCUAAAGAACAGUUUGCUGAAGUAGCCCGUUUUGAUGAUACCAGUGAUGUGCUGCACUGGUAAGUGCUGACCAGAUUGUUCACUAGCUUACUUUUUAAAACUUUACUAAGUUGUUAUACAAUUCAGAGAUAGCAUCAUUGGAGUUAUUGUUUGACACUUGUUUGUUCUAAAUGCAAUAAUCAAAAAAUGUUAUUGAUGAAUGCUGAUGAAAGGAUGACAAAAAUGCUCUUUUUCUUUAUUCAAAGUUGAUGUUGGCAGCUGUUUGUUUUCUUAAAAUGUUAUAUUUAUAUUUGGUAAACGGUACAAGCUGGGAUAACAGGAGGGUCUUUGCAAAAGCAGCACAGCAUUUUCAUAAGAAGCAAUAAACAGUGAAAUAGAAAUAUAGAUUGCUGAAUCUAAUUUAAAAUUCAAUAAUUAAAUCAUACAAUAAAAACAUUCUUUUGCAAAGUGUUUUGUAAAUAAAACAUUUGUGGUUUCUAUUUCCAUUUCUGUUUUCUAUUCUCCUCUGCAUUUUCAAAUCCCUCCUUGAUGGUUUUCCCUUCAUUUAUCUUUGGGGCCUUGAGCAGUGAAAACCAAGUUAAACCACAGCUGCUCCUCAGCUGUAACCAGCUCUCUUAACGGUUACACGCCACACUUGUGCCUCUGUCUUGCAUCUCCGAUUUGGUGAAGUAACAUCUUGCUAACAGCUCACUAACUACGUUGGCGGUACCGAUGUUGAUAUGCAGGAGACUGCUGCAGAUAAGUCAAAACUUUAAAGAAUCUAUCCAGCAUACAGAAUAUGAAUUUCUGUAAAGUUUGAGAAGGUCACUUUGCAAAUUUAUAUUUUUAUUGUAUGAAUUAUUAAAUUUGAAAUUAUAUUAAGCAAUCUAUAUUUUUAUUUCACAAUUUAUUACACCUUAUGAAAAUGCUGUAUUGUUUUUCCAAAGACCCCCUUGGUCCUCCACAAGAUAAAUGCUACUGAGUGUAAAAAAAAUUUACAGUUUUUUGGGGGGUGGGGUAAGGGGUUUAACAAUCCCAUAAUGCACCUUUCAUUCACUUAAUAGUUGACUAUUUUUUUUAUUCAUUUAUAGAGUCCAUUGAAACAAGUUUGUUUUCUAUAAUUUAUUUAGUUUGUCAUUAGUUUGAUUAUUGCUGUUAUUUGUAACAAGAAAUCAAAUUAUUUGACAACUCGAUUAGUUUUUAUUCUCUUUUAAAAGGUGGCAUUUGUUUUUAACAAUACUGAAAAAUAUACAUCUUCAUAUGUUCAUGUUACCACUUUAACUUGGAACAUUUCAUGUAAACUGCUGUUCAAUUUCUCUGAAUAAAUUAUUA